UUGUGUUAUUAUUAUUAUAUACUUCAUACAGAAAAACUUGUGGUCAUAAAGUUCAGACACAGUUUUCUAUCAAAACGUGUGGUGGUCAAAAUUUUAGCAAAACAUGAAGCUCCAAACAGAUAAAGAAAACGUUAGCACAGUACAGCAAACAAAGAGAAAAGUGAAAAGUGAAAACCCAUGAAAUUAUAAAGAAGAAAGCAAAUUGAUAGAAACCUGGAGUAAACGACUACGACAUGGAGAGACGACGAGAAGGAAGCAGACGGCGGCGCCGGAAAAGGUGCGGUGGGUGUACAGUGAGCAGCGAACAGGAUUAGAGAUGUGUGAGUUGGGUUUUAUAGUUUCUAAAUUGAUACCCCAGCCUUGAAACCUAGUUCUCUUCCUUUAUUUUCUUCAUUUUUUUUUAAUUUAUGUUAUGGGCCGUGUCGUACUCAACUGAGCGGUGUCGCGUCCGCUGUAAGUUUUUUUUUUUUGUUGGAUACGGCUAGAUCCACGUCUGACGCGAAUCGUACGCGUGUCGUACGCGCGUCCGUGUCGGAACCGCGUUGGAGACGGCAACACGGCAGAUCUCAGCCGCGUCUGUGCAUCAGAGUGUUUGUCCCAAAACUCAAGAAGAAUCGGAGAGUGGUCAGAGGUAAAUCUUAAUAAAUGAUAAUUAGUAUAUCUAGGAAAAUAGUUUAUCCAAAGAUCAUUGGCACAAUAUCUAUCAAUUCUUUCUUUGAUAUGGUAAGUGCUCUCUUGGUUAUUGGCCCAUGUGUACUUGUUUCCAUGGUAUCCAAGGUCAAAAAGAUUACAGUUUUGAAGAGUAUUUUGGAAGAGGUUACAGAGGUUACAGAGGUUAUAGUUCACAUUUUUGCCUCCCAAUUUCUCUGAACUAUUAAUGUAUAGGUUGAAGUCACCAAAAACAAGCCACUUGACAUUAUAUUUACUAUUAUAGAGAUUGGUAAUAGCUUCACAAGUCAAGUGUUUUUUAGAUUGAUAGGGAUAACCAUAGAGCCCAGUACCACACCACUUUUCAUUGUUUAAAACAUCCAAGACAUAAAAAUCAAUAAGCAUUUUAUUAUGAUCAGUAAUAUUGAGCUUAACAUCAUUGUGCCAAAUCAAAGCUAAUCCUCCAGACCUACCUCCACCUUCAGAAUUACAGUUAAUUAUGAAAUGAUUUUGAAGGUGGCCAAGACACAACUUACUAGACACUUUAGGAUCAGAAACUUUGAGCUUAGUUUCCAUUAGGAAUACAAUAUCUGGACAGUUAGAUCUAAGGAGCUUUUUAUAGGCUCUAACUGCAUCAGGGUUGCCCAACCCUCUGCAGUUCCAGGUUAAGAUUUUCAUAUUCCUAGGCUGGUCUUAUCCUCAAGACCUGCCUUUGUCAUUGUCAUAUUAUUAUCCAUUGAAUUAUCAACAGACAUAGUGAUACCAUUUGUUGCUGUAGCUUUCCUUUUCAUGUGAACUUUUUGAUUGCCAGGAAUUGUUUCUAAUUGGUGCUGCUGUUGCUGGUUUAUAUCAUUGUUCUGCUGAGUUGUAGAGGAGUCCUUCUGUGGUUCAGAUUCCAUGUUUAGACCUGACAUCAUUUCUGAGAGCCCUCUAGGAUUGGAGAAAGCUGCAGAUGGGCUUUACUGGUACCAAUGCCAUCAGGGUUGAGGGGUUCAACAUAGAGCAGCGAUAGAAUUCAUGAGUGGAGGGAUAUCAGAAAGACACAAAAAUUCUGGAAAAAGCAAUAAGACAAGAAGACGAAGGGGCAAAGGAUAAAAAUAGAGUAAAAUAAGGAAGAAAAGGCAGAGGAGAUCAACGAAAACUUAACCUAGAUACACCAAAAGAUCAUCCAAGGAUGCAAACUAAAGCCAACUACCCUAAAUCACCAAAGAUAAGGGAGGAUAACAACAAGAAAACAAGGUAGGAAAAAAGGUUAAAAAAGAUUAGAAUUGAAUUGAGGUGAUGAUGUUAUAAAUAGUUUAAACGUUUUAACUGGGACAAUUUUUAUACAGGACAACUUGUCGUGUAAAUAAAGGUUAGCUUAGUCAAUGAUAAUUUAUCCCGUGUAUUUUAUUUUUUCUGAAAGUUUAGUCAAUGUUCGUUUCUCCUAUGCAUUUUAGUUUAUGAGGGUUCAAUAUCAUUAUAUAAUUGAAGUGAGGUGACAUCAUAAACAACAGGAACAUUUUAGCAAAACCAAUUUUUUCUAAAUAUUGUUUAUCAAAGUUAGUUUAGUUAGCGACAACUUCUCUCGUGCAUUUAUGUUACUUUAGAAAUUUUAGUCAAUGACCACUUAUCCGAUGCAUUUCAGUUUUCUACGAAAUUUUAUUCAAUCUUUGUUUAUCCUGUGCAUUUUAGUUGAUAAGUGUUCAAUAUCGUUUUAGAAUUGAAUUGAGGU
rnacentral:lncRNA from 1 species